rnacentral:rRNA from 1 species
CGGAUGGGCAUGCGGCGCAUUAGCUAGUCGGCGGGGUAACGGCCCACCGAGGCGACGAUGCGUAGGGGUUCUGAGAGGAAGGUCCCCCACACUGGUACUGAGACACGGACCAGACUCCUACGGGAGGCAGCAGUGAGGAAUAUUGGUCAAUGGGCGCGAGCCUGAACCAGCCAAGUCGCGUGAGGGAUGACGGUCCUACGGAUUGUAAACCUCUUUUGCCGGGGAGCAAGCGUGCGUUCGUGAACGCGCGUCGAGAGUACCCGGAGAAAAAGCAUCGGCUAACUCCGUGCCAGCAGCCGCGGUAAUACGGAGGAUGCGAGCGUUAUCCGGAUUUAUUGGGUUUAAAGGGUGCGUAGGCGGGAUGCCAAGUCAGCGGUAAAAAUGCGGUGCUCAACGCCGUCGAGCCGUUGAAACUGGCGUUCUUGAGUGGGCGAGAAGUAUGCGGAAUGCGUGGUGUAGCGGUGAAAUGCAUAGACAUCACGCAGAACUCCGAUUGCGAAGGCAGCAUACCGGCGCCCUACUGACGCUGAGGCACGAAAGCGUGGGUAUCGAACAGGAUUAGAUACCCUGGUAGUCCACGCAGUAAACGAUGAAUGCUAACUGUCCGGCUCGAAUGAGCGCUGG